CAGUAGGUUUCUGCAAACAAACUGAACACCAUUGAAAUCCAUUUCUAAAAUAGAGGAAAAGAUUUGUCUAAAUUAGAAGUGCUUUAGUAGCCCUGCUGUUGACUGCCUAGCAACAAAAGCACAAAGCAAUGGAGAGGAAAGAUUUUCUGCUGAAAAAUCACUGAUCCACUGGAGGCAAAAGACUCAAGAUUUAAUCACAUCUAUUAAGUAAGGCUGCAACUUUACUUCUGCCCUUCCUCAUUUACCAAAGGACAAGGGAAUGAAAAAUGGAAGCUCUAAUGGCUUAGUUUACACUCCUGCUAAUUUCAAACAGAUUUCCAGAUUGCACAGCUUUUAAAAUGAAAGAACUUUUCCUCAGAAUGACCCUGUGACAGACAAACGCUAAAGUGACUCCAACGAUCCCUGCUCUGCUGGUAUUCAUAACUUCUUUUUUUUUUUUUUGGCUGGUAUUCAUAACUUCUUUUUUUUUUUUUUUUUUUUUUUUUUGAGACGGAGUCUCACUCUGUCGCCCAGGAUGGAGUGCAGUGGCGUGAUCUUGGCUCACUGCAAGCUCCGCCUCCCGGGUUCACGCCAUUCUCCUGCCUCAGCCUCCCGAGUAGCUGGGACUACAGGCACCCAGUUAUUCAUAACUUUAUGUGACCCCUUUCCCUUGAAUGUGGGUGGGACAUGGAGUACGGGACUUGCUUCUAACAAACAACUAUGUAAGAUUCUAUGUUGGUGGCAGACAGAGAGAUCCUCCUUACUGGCUUAAUGAAGUGGCCACGUGGACCACAGGCAGCCUCUACAACAGCCAGUCAGAAACUCAAGCCCUCAGUGCUACAGCAAUGAUUACUGCCAACAGCCUGAGUGAGACUGGAAGCAGAUUCUCCCCUGACUGAACUUGCAAUUGAGAUAGCAGCCUGGUCAACACCUUGAUUAUAGCCUUGUGAGGCCCAGAGCAGAAGACCCAUCUAAGCCAUGCCUGGACUCCUGACACAGAAACUGAGAGAUAAGAAGUGUGUGUUAAACUGCUAUAUUUACGGAAAUUUGUUAGGCAGCAAUAUAAAACUGAUACCAUCACCAACAUAAUAAUUCAUGAAAAUAAAAA
rnacentral:lncRNA from 1 species